CAAAUCAAAUACAAAGGACCUGUGAAGGAAGAUGUUAUCCAUAUCCAAAGAAAGAACAAUAGAAAACCAAUGCUUGUGAAACUGCAUAUACAGCAAGAUCCACAGGGUCAGUUCACAAUCUAAUGGUCUUCUUAAGGAUUUUAUAAUUUGAGAAUCAGUGAUCCAGCAUCAGGAAUAAGAUUACAAAAAGAAAUAGAAGGAGAAUUCUCAGUGUGGAGGAAUAAUACUGGAAAGAAGGCCAAGUGGAGCACCCUUCAAAAGGAAUAUUUGUUUUGCCAAAACACAUGCAAUGAGUCAGUUAGUCAAUAAGUAUUUGUUCAACAAUCAAUCAAUCAGCAUACAUUAUUUAUUAAAAGCCUACUAUUUUCAAGCAGUG